CAGCCGCCGCGGUAAUACGAAGGGGGCUAGCGUUGUUCGGAUUUACUGGGCGUAAAGCGCACGUAGGCGGACUUUUAAGUCAGGGGUGAAAUCCCGGGGCUCAACCCCGGAACUGCCUUUGAUACUGGGAGUCUUGAGUUCGAGAGAGGUGAGUGGAAUUGCGAGUGUAGAGGUGAAAUUCGUAGAUAUUCGCAGGAACACCAGUGGCGAAGGCGGCUCACUGGCUCGAUACUGACGCUGAGGUGCGAAAGCGUGGGGAGCAAACAGGAUUAGAUACCCCGGUAGUCCCUGUCUCUUAUAC
rnacentral:rRNA from 1 species